rnacentral:rRNA from 1 species
AACGAACGCUGGCGGCAGGCUUAACACAUGCAAGUCGAACGCCCCGCAAGGGGAGUGGCGCACGGGUGGGUAACGCGUGGGGAUCUGCCCUUUAGUUCGGAAUAACACCGGGAAACUGGUGCUAAUACCGGAUACUCCAUUUUGUCUUGGCGACAGAAUGGGAAAGAUUUAUCGCUAAAGGAUGAACCCGCGUAUGAUUAGCUAGUUGGUGAGGUAAUGGCUCACCAAGGCGACGAUCAUUAGCUGGUCUGAGAGGACGAUCAGCCACACUGGAACUGAGACACGGUCCAGACUCCUACGGGAGGCAGCAGUGGGGAAUAUUGGACAAUGGGCGAAAGCCUGAUCCAGCCAUGCCGCGUGAGUGAUGAAGGCCUUCGGGUUGUAAAGCUCUUUUAGAUGGGAAGGUAAUGACGGUACCAUCAGAAUAAGCCCCGGCUAACUUCGUGCCAGCCGCCGCAGUAA